rnacentral:rRNA from 1 species
GACGAACGCUGGCGGCGUGCUUAACACAUGCAAGUCGAACGGAAAGGCCCUGCUUUUGUGGGGUGCUCGAGUGGCGAACGGGUGAGUAACACGUGAGUAACCUGCCCUUGACUUUGGGAUAACUUCAGGAAACUGGGGCUAAUACCGGAUAGGAGCUCCUGCUGCAUGGUGGGGGUUGGAAAGUUUCGGCGGUUGGGGAUGGACUCGCGGCUUAUCAGCUUGUUGGUGGGGUAGUGGCGUACCAAGGCUUUGACGGGUAGCCGGCCUGAGAGGGUGACCGGCCACAUUGGGACUGAGAUACGGCCCAGACGCGUACGGGAGGCAGCAGUGGGGAAUAGUGUGCUGUGGGGGGAAGGCUGGUGCAGCAACGCCGCGUGCGGGAUGACGGCCUUCGGGUUGUAAAGCGCGUUCGCCUGGGAUGAAGCGUGAGUGACGGUAAUGGGUAAAGAAGCACCGGCUAACUACGUG